AUUGAACGCUGGCGGCAUGCUUUACACAUGCAAGUCGAACGGAAGCGCGGGCUUCGGCCUGGGGGCGAGUGGCGAACGGGUGGGUAAUGCAUCGGAACGUGGCCAGUAGUGGGGGAUAGCGCGGCGAAAGCGGGAUUAAUACCGCAGACGAACAGUGGGUGCAAGCGGGGGACCGAAAGGCCGCUCGCUAUUGGAGCGAGCGAUGUCGGCUUAGCGAGGUGGUGGGGUAAAGGGUUACCCAGGCGACGAUCCUUAGCUGGUCUGAGAGGACGACCAGCCACACUGGGAGUGAGACACGGCCCAGACUCCUACAGGAGGCAGCAGUGGGGAAUUUUGGACGAUGGGGGCAACCGUGAUCCAGCCAUGCCGCGUGCGGGAAGAAGGCCUUCUGGUGGGAGAACGCUGUUGUUCUUGAAGAAAUACUCUGGGCUAAUACCCCGGGAUGAUGACGGUACCGGAAGAAUAAGCACCGGCUAACUACGUG
rnacentral:rRNA from 1 species